GCGUAUUCUAGGAAAUAUUGCGUUGUUAUAAGAGCAAACCACAGACGCGUGUGAAGCCUGAUAAGAAAAACCAACUUAACAGACGAUAGAGAAAUCUUCUAGUUUAUUAUGACAAGAUAAGGUUGGCCAUCAUGAAUUCAAUAAUACAAGAUUCAAUUCGAUCUGAUGAGCACCGUACUUUGUCAUGUGAAACUAUAUAGUACAUCUUUUAUCUCGAAACACGGAGGGUUGAGAGAAUAUAGCGGUGAUGAGUCUGGUGGAGAUGUUGACCGAACAUGCGAUUUCUUUUGUAUGACGAAUACUGGCGUAGUAAUAUAACGGUGAGUAAAGAGUCGGUGAAGCUGAAAGAAAGAAAAACAAGCAAAGAAGCGAAGACUAAAGGAGAUGAACAUGCGUACACCACAGCCAUUGCUGGAAGCAAACGAGGGAGAAAUACCAACCAAUGGAGAGGUUGAUUUCUCAGAGUAUAUGUGGAUGGGGGAGGAGCUAGAAGAAUUUGAUAGACAGGUUGAGGAGGAAUUAUGGGAAGAAGCAUUCAUCGAGGCGUGUUUUGAAGAGAUGAUGGCCGAGGAGAAUGGUCCAUCCCAUAGUAGUAAUACUAAUAACAACAAUUAUUCCUCAUAUCAGCCCCAGCAGCUUCUACCCC